rnacentral:rRNA from 1 species
UACGUAGGGUGCAAGCGUUAAUCGGAAUUACUGGGCGUAAAGCGUGCGCAGGCGGUUUUGUAAGUCAGAUGUGAAAUCCCCGGGCUUAACCUGGGAACUGCGUUUGAAACUACAAGGCUAGAGUGUGACAGAGGGGGGUGGAAUUCCACGUGUAGCAGUGAAAUGCGUAGAUAUGUGGAGGAACACCGAUGGCGAAGGCAGCCCCCUGGGCCGAUACUGACGCUCAGGCACGAAAGCGUGGGGAGCAAACAGG